GUUUCGCAGAUGUGGGGAGCACACUCCCGUCUGUGGCGAAAGGGCGGCGGUGGUUUGAAGCCGAGAAAGAGAGAGAUGAGGAGGAAUAUGCCGGUGUGAGGACGUCUCUUUGUGUUCACGACAGCGAAACUCAUAUCGCCAGGUGUGUGUCCUCAGCCACCUACUAGCCUACUCACCUUUACUACCACUGUCGAGGUAGCCAUGGCGACCAGCGCACUGCCAAGUGAUAACCUGCCAACGUACAAGCUGGUAGUGGUGGGGGAUGGUGGUGUUGGGAAGAGUGCCCUCACCAUCCAAUUUUUCCAGAAGAUAUUUGUGCCGGACUAUGAUCCCACAAUAGAGGACUCGUAUCUUAAACACACAGAGAUAGAUGGACAGUGGGCAAUACUGGAUGUGCUGGACACAGCCGGCCAGGAGGAGUUCAGUGCGAUGAGGGAGCAGUAUAUGAGGACAGGAGAUGGCUUCCUGAUUGUCUUCUCUGUGACAGACAAGGCCAGCUUUGAACAUGUUGACCGAUUCCAUCAACUCAUACUACGGGUCAAAGACAGGGAGGCAUUCCCCAUGGUGCUGGUGGCAAACAAAGUGGAUUUGGUUCAUCUGAGAAAGAUCACCUCUGACCAGGGCCAAGAGAUGGCUGCAAAACAUAACAUAACUUAUAUUGAAACCAGUGCCAAGGAUCCUCCCAUGAACGUGGACAAAGCCUUUCAUGAGCUGGUUCGUGUUAUAAGACAACAGGUGCCAGAGCGAAACCAGAAGAAGAAAAAGAAGAUGAAAUGGAGAGCAGAGCGUUCAGCGGGUUCCCACAGGUUCCACUGCGCCAUAUUGUGACCUCCCUCGUCCUGUUUAUCAUUCGUAACACACACACACCCACACGCACACCCACAUACCUUUGGAUGUCAGGGAACUCCCCAGCAGUGGUUACUACUGGAGCACAAAAGACAGGGGAACCGUUAGAUGGAGAAGUGAAUCUGAAAUGUUGGACUGAUCACCCUGCACAAUGCCUUGGAAUGAGUGCUGUGCCCUCUCUCCUCAAGGUAUGGUACCUUUUAUAAAAGGUCUAUAGAUUCCUCCCAUUCUCUAUUCAACACAGAACUACAGUGUCCCUGAACUGUUUCGCAAUCAAGUGUCAUUUUUGAAAUUUCAUUUCAAAUGUGGCGCUAGACGACAGACUCUAGGAAAACCAGAGAUCAGAAUAACCUUGAUAUUGGAACUUUUGUCUUCAGAGAAAGGGAGGAAAAGGGAGGAUCCGGCUCAAAAUGGCGCCUCAUUUCUCACAGAGUUACUCCCAACAACCUGCUGGUCAUCACCUUUCUAUCCUCACACUCUUUACAGAAGAAAAGCACCUGUGUGAUCUUUAGAUAUCAUAGCGGCAUGGUGGAAGAAUAUGAGAGUGGUGGCAGUGAUUUUUGGUAGUGAAAAUAGAAGUUUUGCGGUGUUGUCAACGAGUGAACUGCGAGUUCUGCGAGCGUGGUGUGAACUUCGUACUCGUGUGAUGCUCUGGUUUUGAAAUGUCAGUUCAGAGAGGACAGAAGGAUGUGUUGUAGCAAGCGAGAGGAAGGUGAUGCUGAGAAAAUGUGUCCCAUCGGUCGACAGGUGAGCGCUAUGGUCAUAUCGGCUUGUUGAAUUAAAUGUUUAAAUAUUGUAAUUGUAAAGGAGAGUGAGAUUGGCCGGUGUAUGUGGUUACACUUUAACGUAAACAUAACAGGGUUUAUACCAACACUGAUGUGUCAGCGGCCAUGUUUACAGACUUAUAAAUGGAUUAUUUUCUCAUCAUACAGACGCAUAGUAUAUCAGAGCCACUUUACAGCAAGUGGGAAAAUAAUGAUAGUUAAUUUAGGUUGCCUCUUCAGUCAUCGUCAAUGGCAUGAGGAGUGCAGUCUUCAUCAGUACUGUAUGGACAAUAGCCCUGAUAUUUUUUGUAGUAUUAAAAAAAAAAAGUUACUUUCCAUGUUUUUGUAUCUAAAAAAUAAAAUAUAGAGAAUUACAAUUAUAUUUGUGAUAUAUAAAAAAAUCUAAUCAUAGGUGGCAAUGUAAACAAAUUCAAUGCUGUUUAAAAAAAAAAAGAUAUGUAGGCAAUUCUUAAUGAAAUAGAGUAGACAAUGGGUAAUGAGAGCUUUGCGUUUCAGAUCUGAAGCAGGCUGGAGAAGCUGAUUUGCACUGGCCACUAACCAAAAUAAUGUGAUGUCACUUUAUUUCAAUCUAGGGGGCGUUUCAGACCGCAACGCUGAAUUCAGGACAAUGAAUCAUGCUCAGCAGAGGAGAACACUCCUUUUAGUUUAGGGGUACAUGCAUACUGCAGCCCUGGGAAUACAUCAGGCAGUGUGAUGCUCCCGGGGCUUAAAGCCAUGUUAACCUAGCUAAGUUCAGUUGUAGGAAAACCACACACUCGAAGCAACAAGACAUUCAGUAUCUGUCGACCUGAGGUGGAUAGGAAUGUACAAUUUAAUAACCUAUGAAAUGGCUUGUACUGUUAAAGCACUAAAGUUUCGGUGGACAACUUUUUUUUUUUUGUCUGGAUGAAUACCGUCUCUUGAAGGAAAUACCUUUUUGCACUUUUAAUACAAUUUCUGACUUUCCUAUUGGCAUGUUGUUUUCUGUUCAAAACCUGUAAGUGAAAAAGAAAGGCACGGUUAAAAAACGAUUUGAAUGUGAAAUCGAAUAACAAAACAAGCAAAUAGGCAAUUAGUGUUGUAUGCCUGUGUGUAUGCCUGUGUGUAUGCCUGUGUGUAUGCCUGUGUGUAUGCCUGUGUGUAUGCCUGUGUGUAUGCCUGUGUGUAUGCCUGUGUGUAUGCCUGUGUGUAUGCCUGUGUGUAUGCCUGUUGCCUUUGUGAUGAUUGUGUCCGAGAUUAAAUCUAUUGGAAUUUAAUCAUUGGAAAGGUAUUGAACGAAAAGUUCCAUGUUUCUUAGUUUUGAAAUAAGGAGGUUGAGUAUGAACCCCCCCCCCCCCCCCCCUCAGUUAUUGAAUGGCAUACAAAAUCACCUCAGCAUGAAAGUAGAAAACAACCUCAGCAAAAGAAGGAAAUCGGUAUUAAUCUACAUCUACUGUUAAAGGGACUUCACAAAGAGUUUCCAGAGAAGGACAGAAAACAUUGAAGUACUGAUCAUUGAGCAAUGACGCCACAGACUGCAGAUCGUUGGGAGGCCUUUUGCCUUUGAGCCCCCAUAUGAAGAGACUUGUAAUGUGUCGUGGACCAAGAUGAAGAAACAGUUUCCUGAGCUGGAAAAACAUAAGGACCUUUUCUUUACUGGAGCUCAUGUGGAUGGCCUCGCAAGAGAACAUGUAAUCACAGAAGGGUCAAAACAAGGAAAGUUUGUUGUCUAAUUUGUAACUUUUAAAUGUUUCUUUGUUGAAUGUGA